GCUUGGUCAGCUGAGUGGCCGGUUGGCAGUGUUCUCACCCCAUGGCCUGCCUGGUUGCUUGGUGGGACUCAUCACCGCCACCCCAGAUGGGGCUCCCCCUGGACCACAGCUGAGGUCAGCAGGGGGACUGCGGCCGAGCCCCCAUUCUAGAUGCCACACAGCCCACACCCUGAGGACCCAGACCCAGCACUGGCGCGAUACUGCCCCCCAAUGUCCAGGGCAUCCUGGGGCAGGUUCCCAAGCAUCGUGUGACACAGGGUGUUCUCCCCUCCCCGUCCCCACUAUCCACACACACAGCAAGGCCAGGCAGGCUUUUGUACCAGGGGAUUUUCGGCAGGUGCUUUCUCUCUGUCCCUCAGGAUGUGACGGGCGGGAUCCCUGCCAUUGGUGUGGUGGAAACUAGAGCUGGGUCGGCGGCGGAGGCCUGGUCCUCUGCUCCCCGCCCCCACCUCCCAAACGGGAUCUGCUGUGCAUCGGACACAUCUCGGUUCCUCACACGUGCCACUGAAACCAGAGAGGAAUGUCUGUCCCGAGGCCAGACCAGGAGCUACAGGAGGGCAGAGGCCAUAUCCUGAGCAUUUCUGCCCCCAGCUCUGUGCCUGGCUUAACCACAGGAAUUAUCUCUUGGAGUCUCCCCACAGGUUCAGCGUUGCUGACCUCCAGCAGAUCGCAGAGGGGGCGUAUGAAGGAUUCCUCAAGGCCCUGAUCGAAUCUGCCUCCCAGCACGUCUACCGCUGCGACCUGUGCACCCAGCGUGGCUUCAUUUGCCGGAUCUGCCACCACCACGACAUCAUCUUCCCCUUUGAGUUUGACACCACAGCCAGGUAUG